rnacentral:lncRNA from 1 species
CGAAACUGCGUCGCCAUCCGCUACCACAACGACACCAACAGUCAUCAACGAUGGGUUCUCGAGAACCCAUCCUUGGUUUGUGUUCAUAUUUUUUAAAAUCUCAAAAAUCUUUUACUUGAUUAAUUUGACAUAUUUUUAUGACUUGAAGUUAAUUUGAGCAAGCAUUUUUGAUAAAUUUUGCGAGACGCUUAAUGUGAUUACUAAUUCCAACCUGUGUUUGAAAUUGUUAUGUGAGGGUUACGUCUUGACUUAGUCAGUGUUCUUGAUGAAGCAUUUGAUUGUAUAUUGGGUAAAAAAGUUAGUAUUAUUUUGUGUUACUUGUGAAAAAACUAUGGGGAUAAGUGAAAAGGUUGAAAAUUGAAAGUGAAUCUUCUAAAUUCGUAUAAAAUAUAAAGCAAGAAAAUAGGGUUUCUAAUUAUUUGAAUCUUGCCAUAUGUACAACUUGGUUUUUUAUACUAUGAUAUAAAGAUAAGGUAUAUCACAUUUUCCGUCGGAUUCUUGUUGUUGUUAAUGUACUUGUGACUGUCUUGUUGUUGUUAUAGUGUUGUUUUUGUCUUGUGUUGAUAAUCUUGUUUGGAUUGUUGACUGGAAAAUAGGUGUUAAACACCUCACUACAUUGUGUUCUUGUUAUUGUGUGUGAAUCCGAGAGUGUUCAUCCAUAGGGUCCUCGGUUCUCUUGAACUUGUGGACUGUUUUGGAUGUAUGUUUUGGUGUGUUCUUGGUCGCUGGUCGUUCUUGUAUCAAAAUGUGUAGUACUGACUUGAAAAUGGUUGAGUUUAGUUACUUGAAAGUGGAUACAUAUAGAAGUGUAGUUAUUUGAAAAUGGUUAAGUAUAGUGACUUGAAAAUGUGAAUUAGUUAAUUGAAAAUAGUUAAGUGUAGUGACUUGAAAUGCUAGUACAUGACUUGAAAAUGGUUAGGUGUAGUUACUUGAAAAUGGUUAAGUGUAGGAAAUUUAAAGGGGAUUUUGUGAAAGUGGUUUGGUUGGUGACUUAGUCACUUGAAAAUGGUUAAGUGUAGGGACUUUAAAGGGAUUUUUUUUUAAGGUACUUGAAACGUGGACUUGUAUUUUGAAUUUAGUUAUGUGUGGUCACUUGAGAAGUGAAUAAGUACUUGAAAAUGUUUAAGUGUAGGUAGUUGAAAUGUGGACUUGUGUUUUGAAUUUAGUUAAGUGUGGUCACUUGAAAAGUGAGUUAGUGACUUGAAAAUGCAUAAGUGUAGGUACUUGAAAUGUGGACUUGUGUUUCUAAUUUAGUUAAGUUUGGUCACUUGUGAAGUGAAUUAGUGACUUGGAAUGUUUAGAUGUAGUUACUUGAAUUAUGAACUUGUGUUUUGAAUAUAGUUAAGUGUGGUCACUUGAGAAGUGCAUUAGUGAGUCGAAAAUGUUUAAGUGUAGUUACUUGAAAAUUUUUAAUAGUGAAUUAAUGUUUAGAAGGUGAUGUGGUUGGUGACUUUAUUAGUUGAAAAUGCUUAAGUUUUGGUUUCUUUAAAAGUGAACUUUUGUUUAGAAGGUGAUGUUGAGGGUGACUUUAUUUGUUGAAAAUGAUUAAGUGUCGAUGACUUUAAUAGUGAAUUAGUUUCGUUGGUGUCUUUGUUAGUUGAAAAAGCUUAAGUUUUGGUGACUUUAAUAGUGAACUAGUGUUUAGAAGGUGAUGUUGUUGGUGACUUUAUUUGUUGAAAAUGCUUAAAUUUUGGUGACUUUAAUAGUGAAUUAGUGUUUAGGAGGUGAUGUGGUUGGUGACUAUUAUUAGUUAAAAAUGCUCAAGUUUUGGUGACUUUAAUAGUGAAUGUGUUUAGGGGGUGAUGUGGUUGGUGACUUUAUUAGUUGAAAAUGCUUAAGUGCCGGUGACUUUAAUAGUGAAUUAGUUUCGUUGGUGCCUUUGUUAGUUAAAAAACCUUAAGUUUUGGUGACUUUAAUAGUGAAUUAGUGUUUAGGAGGUGAUGUGGUUGGUGACUUUAUUAGUUGAAAAUGCUUAAGUGCCGGUGACUUUAAUAGUGCAUUAGUUUCGUUGGUGCCUUUGUUAGUUAAAAAACCUUAAGUUUUGGUGACUUUAAUAGUGAAUUAGUGUUUAGGAGGUGAUGUGGUUGGUGACUUUAUUAGUUGAAAAUGCUUAAGUGCCGGUGACUUUAAAAGUGAACUUUUUUUAAUCAAUUUUGCUAGAAUUAAAAAUCCAAUAAAUUAAAAAUCCAUCCUUUACUUUUUUGCAUGUGCGUAGUUCUCGAUUUUUAAGCAUAGUAUAAAUAUGUAUAUAUUUUGUCAAUGCGUGCAAAUACAUUUAUGUAGUUGAACUACUUUAUUUAACUUUAUUUUAUCAUAACAUUCAGAGAUUGUGGUGUAAUUGAAGCUGGAUAUGUGGGGAGUACUUGAGCGAAGGAAUACCAAUUUCUUCAGCAGAUGUUGAUGUAGCUACGAAUCGAUUAAGAUAUGCAUCUCUUUUAUGAAAAUACGGUGUGGUCAAGUCAAAGAAAUAUUAUGUUAGAGAUAACAAUGAUCCUCCAAGACCAAGGCCUAGUUUUGUUCCAUCACUUGCUGAAUUAUGGAUUUGUUAGUUUAGAAUAGUUCAGAAAUUAACGGAUGUUUUGAAAAUUUUGAUUGAAACUUUAUUUUUAAAAUGAAUGAUAAAGACAUGUUAUGUAUGUUUAUGCUCAAGUUAUAUGUUUUGAUUUCGGG